CCGGCCUUACACAUUGUAGAGAGAUGUGAGACAUCAGUAUAUGGAAGAAGUGCGUUGGUUCUGUUAGGAAUGCUUGUUUCUCCGUGCUGUAAAGAAAUAGCCCUUGAACAUAAAUUUCAUUUCCUCAGCCAGGCCGUUUUUUUACUUUCUGCAGAAACGGUACACUUGCCAGCAGUUUGGCCACUAGAGUACCCAGAACAAAGGCGACAGGGUCAUUUAUAACCUGACGCGUCCACCCAACGCUGUGUCCGGUUUCCAUGGGCUGGAACGGGGGCCCUCACAUUCCGUAUUUGUCCCGACUGGCCAGCAACUUAGAACUUUUUUAAAAGAGGCAAAGGCAGAGGAGAACAAAGGAAGGAGGGAGUCACUUGUGGAACGCUGAGAAAGGUAAAAACACCUGCAAAGAAGGAAGAGGAACAGGCUCUGACCUCAUGCUUGCUUGGACCAGGAUAAGCAUCCCAGGGCGGAUAUUUAGGCUACACUGUGGGAGCUAGGAACACAAAGAACAUGGAUUUCUUUAUUACGGCUAGCAGAGAUUUCAGAACGUUAGCACAGGUCUUUGAAUACAUUUCACUUCUAAGAGAAGUUCGUAUUUAUUCCUAAUUAGACGGGGCGGAAAGUCUUUGAAGAGGAACCUCUACUCUCCUGUUUACCGUUGGGUCUGGAAAGGCGGGACAACCUGAAGCAAAGGCAGGAAGACUGGAAGCGGGGAGGGAGCCUCAGGUCACAGAAGGGCCCACUGUGUGCUCCUUCUCUCCGUGUGUCCAUCUGUUCUCAUCACUGAGGUCCCACUUGUUUAAAACCAGAAUCAAAGAAAAUUGAUUGGAGGAUCACCUGACUGAAGCAAAAUUCAUCUCUCCCACCAAAAGGAAGGAUUUGCCAGCCGGAGUUCGCAUCUGAAAAUCAGCAGUAAUAAUCCUGCUAAGCACAUCGAAACAGCUUCAUCCCUCCAUCCACGGCGUGUUCAAGAUCCCAGGAGCUCCAGCUCUCACGCCUCCCUUUCAGAACAAAAGGGUCCUGCCC